rnacentral:lncRNA from 10 species
AAGAAAAUGUGUCAUAUCCCACAGAAAUCAGCCUCUGUCCCAGUGAAGGUUUGGGGGCAUGGCUGGAGCAUUAUCAAAAUUGGGCUGGAGCCACUUGAAGGAUCCAAGUGACCCAGGGCCUCGACAAAAGGACUGAAGCAAAUUCAAGGAAGAGGAAGAGUCAACAGUAUUCGCCAAAUAAUUGAAUGUGGAGAAGGAAUAAGCUCACAAACGAUCCCAAGGUUUUCAGGCUGGCAACCAUAAGGACACUGAUGACAUUAAUACAGCGCAGCACAUAGGAGGUGAAGUGGGUCUGCUUACAACAAGGAAGAAUCACUAUUAAUACUUGUUUUUGGGUACAAUUGUGAUACCGAGCCUCCAAGGUGGUCUCAAUGAUCGUCAUCCUAAAUUCUUGAUGCACAGGAUCUCUGAGACAAUAAAUGUUUAUUCUUUAAGCCACUAAGUUUGGGGUAAUAUGCUACAC